rnacentral:rRNA from 1 species
UGCAAGUCGAACGCGAAAGGGUAGCAAUACCCGAGUAAAGUGGCGAACGGGUGAGUAACGCGUAGGAAACCUGUCUUCGAGAUGGGGAUAACACUCCUAACGGGGUGCUAAUACCGAAUGACACUGCGAAGUCGCAUGGCUUUGCAGUCAAAGGUGGCCUCUGCUCGCAAGCUACCACUCGAAGAUGGUCCUGCGUCCCAUUAGCUAGUUGGCGAGGUAACGGCUCACCAAGGCGACGAUGGGUAGCCGAUCUGAGAGGAUGACCGGCCACACUGGGACUGAGAUACGGCCCAGACUCCUACGGGAGGCAGCAGUCGAGAGGCUUCGGCAAUGGGGGAAACCCUGACCGGGCGACGCCGCGUGGAGGAUGAAGGCCUUUGGGUUGUAAACUCCUGUCAUGUGGGAAGAAACACCACCGCGCGAAUAGUACGGUGGUCUGACGGUACCACAAGAGGAAGCUCCGGCUAACUCCGUGCCAGCAGCCGCGGUAAUACGGGGGGAGCAAACGUUGUUCGGAAUCACUGGGCGUAAAGGGCGUGUAGGCGGCUGGAUAAGUGGGAUGUUAAAUCCCCCGGCUCAACCGGGGACCUGCAUCUCAUACUGUUCAGCUCGAGCACAUCAGAGGAGACUGGAA